rnacentral:ncRNA from 1 species
GAGAACUACUAUUUCGAGAAGUCAAAUGAAAGGGUAACACCUGGAAGGGCUUCCUCUGAUACUCCGACAUGCAUGAUGCAGUGGAUAAGUACUGUAGUGUAUGAAGCUCGGUGAAGUCGGCUGAGAGCUACCGUAAGGUAUCUAAAUACCACGAAAAUUGUUCAGAGGUGGAUGAUGUAGCCUAUAGGUCGGGAGUCUAUAAA